ensembl:lncRNA LINC01176 long intergenic non-protein coding RNA 1176
ACAAACACUUGUCUGCUGUUUCUGUGGCCUGGCUGAGCCAAGAAAACAUGUUAAAGCACAGAGCCCACGCAAGACAGUGUGCUUGCAGGAGACCCUACCAACAGGAAUCGGAUAACAAGGAGCUAAAGGGGUGAUAAUGAGAAGCAAUGGACUAGAGGAUUCAAGUGGAAGAGUCUUCAUCACCCGCAGGGGAAUCAGGAGCAAUGUUCAUCAGUGAAUGAAAGGAGUGC